rnacentral:lncRNA from 1 species
UGGAUUUUUUACCCCUGGGAUAAAUCAACUCUUGGGCCCCCAUUUGGGACCCUGGCCUCAAGGUGACCCUUUGGCUAUCUGGGAAUGAAAUUUGGUGUUUUACUGGAUAAACCUUCCCAUUCUUCCCUUGGCUAAACCCUCCUGGCCUCUCUGUCUGUUUCCUCCUUUCCCACUCAGUUCCAAUGGAUUUUUUGCCCCUGGGAUGAAUCAGCUCCUGGAGCUCCAUUUGGGAUCCCUUUGGCAAUUCAGGAAUGAGCUGCGGUGUCCCGGCAGGACGGGAGGGAAUCAUCUGUCCAACACCAAGUUUUUGGGAAUGCUGCCUUGCCUGGCUCCUGGACACACCCACUUUUUCCAGGAUCGGCCUUCCCACCUCGGGAUAUUUCACACACAAUUGCAGGCCUGGUUUUCCAGACGGUUAUGGGGAAUUGGCACCCGCCACAUUCCAGCCCCGCUCCUUUGAUGCCAGGGAAUUGUGGUUCCCUCACUCCCAGAGGAGUUUUCAGGCCCACCCCAAAUCCAUGGACACAUUCCAAGGGCUGAGGGAGGAGAAGGAACCUUGUGUUUGUAUCCAUGUGUGUUUGUGGAGGACGGAGCAGCCCAGACUUCCAAGACAUCAUCCCGGAGUAAUCCACCCCUGGAUCUGCUGGAAUGGGACAACCAGUGUUGGUUUUAUGGCCAAGGUUGUCCAUGGGGACCCUGAGAGAGACUGGAAUUGGGAAGUUUUCCCAGCAGAGCUAUCUCAGGAGGCCUCGGAGUUAAUCCCUGUCCUCCAGACAGGAUUAAACCUCUGAAAAACCCCAACAGGUCCCUGCUGGCUCCAUCCUGUGGAGCUUGAUCCCAAAAUCCAGGCUGGGAUCCUCAUCCUUGGACAUUAUUGGAGUUAAGCUAGAAGAAAUCACAGGAAGUUUUCGUUGGAAGGACCUUGAGGAUUAUCCAGAACAAUCCUUCCUUCCCAGGAGAAUCUAUUUUUCCCUGGGUGUCCCCACUUGUUUUGUGGUGUUAUCCCUGGAAAAUUUCUGGGUUUGGAGACGAUCCAAAGCUUUUCUUGGGCAGGGAUUUGGGACCAAAGGCCAGGAGAAGACCCUAGGUCAGUCUUUGACUCUUGGAGAUCCUCUGGCUGUGGGAAAAAUUGCUGGAUCCACCAACUCCACUCCACUGAUGGGAAUUGUGGACAUGGAAUAUGAACAUGAACACAAAAGAUCUCUCCAUCUUUUUUCCCAAUGUGCAAAUACACUAAUUGGGAAUAUUUUAAAUGAAG